rnacentral:lncRNA from 1 species
UGGGGCACCAUGAUGUUCUACACGUAUAGAGAUAUGUCAGGGUGGCCAUGUUGCCAGGCACUUGUGGGGGCAAGGGCAGGGAGAAGAGCAUGGGAAUUGCCAUGUUUUGGUGGACCGAGUUUCUAAUGCCCAGCAUUUGCAUAUCAAAGCUUGCUGCCAGGCUCUAAGAUCUGGGGCUUUCCUGCUAAACAAGAAACAUUUCUGGAGCUGCUUUAAAAGAGACAAAAACUUUCCAAGGACCCCUUUUCCUCUCUAUCUGCCUAAAAUAAUUUCUUAAUAACUCCUGUCACACUAAGGGACAGACUACUGUGAAUCUUGCUGCUCCUCUGGGUCUUGCUACCCAGUGAAGCUGCCACACUUUAGGCUGGGAAUUUCUGCAAGGAAUCCAGUGAUGUGACUUGUUCUCUAAUCUCCCAGCACUGAGUACCAGCGCCAGCUCUGAUGAGGGUGGCAGGCUUAAGGACUUCUUAAAACCGAAAAGACACAAAUACUCUCAUUUCACAGAAGAAGCUUCUGAGGUCAGUGAAACUGCAAUGUUUUGACAAUU